UUCAACUACCCACAGAUUUUGUCUCCUUUCUCUUUAUCACAAAAAUAUAUAUCCACACAUACAAACACAAAAUACGCACACCACACAUACACACAAAAACUAUUGCUUCUCCACCAUUCUUUUUCUCCCUUUUUUCUCCCUCUUUCUCUCACUCCCCAAAAGCCUUAAACUAUCAUCGGAGAACCAACGGUGGUCCGGCGGAAUCCCCCUUCCUUUGCCUCACCACUCCGGCGAUCACCAAGAAAUCAUCAGUGUCGCCCCUUCUCUCCCUUUCUAGCAAAACACCACUAAUUUUCCCCCUUUUCGUUGCUCCUUUUUGCACUGCCUCACCAGAGGUGGUGGCCAGCGAGAUUCAGCCGUACCAUCACCACACGCCACCCAACACCACUAAAACAGUCGCACCACCACAAACCACCACCUUCUCUUCCUUAUCACUAUUUCAGUCAACCAAGAACAAACCCACGUCAGAUUCUGGCUAAACUCCAUCGAAAAUGAUGAGCCAUUGUCAUUCUAUUUAUUAUUUUUUUCAGAUCUGGGCGAUAAUACUAUGAUAAUGCAAAAUAUGACAUCGUAAUUUCAAGUUAUUCUAUUUCUUUGUUAAUUGUUGUUCCG
rnacentral:lncRNA from 1 species